GACGAACCGUGCGAACGUUGUUCGGAAUCACUGGGCUUAAAGGGCGCGUAGGCGGGCUCGCAAGUCGAGGGGUGAAAUCCCACGGCUCAACCGUGGAAGUGCCUUUGAUACUGCGGGCCUGGAGGGAGGUAGGGGCGUGCGGAACUUCCGGUGGAGCGGUGAAAUGCGUAGAUAUCGGAAGGAACACCGGUGGCGAAAGCGGCGCGCUGGACCUCUUCUGACGCUGAGGCGCGAAAGCCAGGGGAGCAAAGCGGG
rnacentral:rRNA from 1 species